GGCUCAGGAUGAACGCUGGCGGCGUGCUUAACACAUGCAAGUCGAACGAACCUUCGGGUUAGUGGCGGACGGGUGAGUAACGCGUGAGAAUCUGCCCUCAGGAGGGGGAUAACGGUUGGAAACGACCGCUAAUACCCCAUAUGCCGAUAGGUGAAAUGAAUUUCGCCUGAGGAUGAGCUCGCGUCUGAUUAGCUUGUUGGUGAGGUAAUGGCUCACCAAGGCUUCGAUCAGUAGCUGGUCUGAGAGGAUGAUCAGCCACACUGGGACUGAGACACGGCCCAGACUCCUACGGGAGGCAGCAGUGGGGAAUUUUCCGCAAUGGGCGAAAGCCUGACGGAGCAACGCCGCGUGAGGGACGAAGGCCUCUGGGCUGUAAACCUCUUUUCUCAAGGAAGAAGAUAUGACGGUACUUGAGGAAUAAGCCACGGCUAAUUCCGUGCCAGCAGCCGCGGUAAUACGGGAGUGGCAAGCGUUAUCCGGAAUUAUUGGGCGUAAAGCGUCCGCAGGCGGCCUUUCAAGUCUGCUGUUAAAGCGUGGAGCUUAACUCCAUCAUGGCAGUGGAAACUGAUCGGCUUGAGUAUGGUAGGGGCAGAGGGAAUUCCCGGUGUAGCGGUGAAAUGCGUAGAUAUCGGGAAGAACACCAGUGGCGAAGGCGCUCUGCUGGGCCAUUACUGACGCUCAUGGACGAAAGCCAGGGGAGCGAAAGGGAUUAGAUACCCCUGUAGUCCUGGCCGUAAACGAUGAACACUAGGUGUCGGGGGAAUCGACCCCUUCGGUGUCGUAGCUAACGCGUUAAGUGUUCCGCCUGGGGAGUACGCACGCAAGUGUGAAACUCAAAGGAAUUGACGGGGGCCCGCACAAGCGGUGGAGUAUGUGGUUUAAUUCGAUGCAACGCGAAGAACCUUACCAGGGUUUGACAUCCUGAGAACCUCUUAGAAAUUUGAGGGUGCCUUCGGGAAUUCAGUGACAGGUGGUGCAUGGCUGUCGUCAGCUCGUGUCGUGAGAUGUUGGGUUAAGUCCCGCAACGAGCGCAACCCACGUUUUUAGUUGCCAGCAUUUAGUUGGGCACUCUAGAAAGACCGCCGGUGAUAAACCGGAGGAAGGUGUGGAUGACGUCAAGUCAUCAUGCCCCUUACACCCUGGGCUACACACGUACUACAAUGCUACGGACAAAGGGCAGCAAACUCGCGAGAGCUAGCAAAUCCCAUAAACCGUGGCUCAGUUCAGAUCGUAGGCUGCAACUCGCCUACGUGAAGUAGGAAUCGCUAGUAAUCGCAGGUCAGCAUACUGCGGUGAAUACGUUCCCGGGCCUUGUACACACCGCCCGUCACACCAUGGAAGUUGGCCAUGCCCGAAGUCGUUACUCCAACCCUUGUGGAGGAGGACGCCGAAGGUGGGGCUAAUGACUGGGGUGAAGUCGUAACAAGGUAGCCGUACCGGAAGGUGCGGCUGGAUCACCUCCUAA
rnacentral:rRNA from 1 species